GCGGCCUCUGCACCAUGCUGGCUGCCCCAGACGCAAGGCCCUUUGUGGUACAUGAAUGUUGAUGAUCUGAAUCCAGAAGCAUGGGGAGUGGAUUCUCACCCACCUGGUGGGUUCCUUGGUUUUUUUAAGAACAUGCCAAGCCUUUCCCAAGCUGUGAGCAAUGGGACUUCAUCGCAACAAAUCAAGAAAGGAGAUGCCACCAAUGGUGGCGAGUGUGCAAGGACUGAAAAGCGCUUGCUGUGGACAAAAGAGGAAGAUCUUAGAUUGGACUAUGCCGUGUCGUGGUGACUGCUGCAUGUGCAACCUACUGUGGCUGAAGAUUUUUGACGCAGAUGGAUUCGUCGCUCCUUUCUAUUGAAGUUCCAACUUAUCAUCGUCAAGAUCAAAACUAAUGGCUUAUUUGCAUUGUCUCUUGUUUGGUUAAUGUUUUCUUAAAAAGACUGGUGUAAUGUUUGAGUGUCGAUGUCAUGGUGUUAUGCGCCAUUAGUUUGUUGAUCGUCGGCGCCAAGAUUAAAACUAACGGCUUGUUUGCCGGGCGUCUUAUUUAGUUCUAUGUUUGGUUAAUGCUUCCUUGGAAAGACUCAAGCAAUGUUCAACUA